GAGCCCGCGUAGGCUCAGCCCUCCAGACGAGGAGCGGGCCGGGCAUCCGCGAGGGAGUGGGAGAACCUGGAGGCCGGGUCGAAGGUCAGGGCCUCUUCCAGGCCGCCACAGCACGGGUCCCUACCUGAGCACCCAAAAUGACUUUUACGCUGGGAUUCAGAAAUGUCUACAGGACUGAGACAGGACCUGCUAAAGCCUCUGGAAAGACUAGCGAUCGUGGAGAAUAAAACACUUCAUCAUCCACUUCUUCUGGCUUUCUGGGCAAGCAGUGUAAAAAUGUCCAGUCAGAGGCAGCAACUUUAGCAGUCUAAAGAAAAGAUGAAGUCCUCCAGCCACAGAAACUGCAGGUGAAAUGGACUCAACGACAUGGAGGGAAAGGAGCAACUCGCAAGUUGUUUUCACAUUGGAAUCACUUGGAGAAACAAAGAUAUUAAAGGCCUUUAAAUAGACAAUGAAUAUUAUU